ACGGCGUUAGUUAAGGGGUAUAACACUUGCCUUCCACUAGCGUAUAGCAAGAAUGAGGGGUUCGAGUCCCCUACGCCGUA